AUUGAACGCUGGCGGCAUGCCUUACACAUGCAAGUCGAACGGUAACAGGUCUUCGGAUGCUGACGAGUGGCGAACGGGUGAGUAAUACAUCGGAACGUGCCUAGUAGUGGGGGAUAACUACUCGAAAGAGUGGCUAAUACCGCAUGAGAUCUACGGAUGAAAGCAGGGGAUCGCAAGACCUUGUGCUACUAGAGCGGCCGAUGGCAGAUUAGGUAGUUGGCGGGAUAAAAGCUUACCAAGCCGACGAUCUGUAGCUGGUCUGGGAGGACGAUCAGCCACACUGGGACUGAGACACGGCCCAAACUCCUACGGGAGGCAGCAGUGGGGAAUUUUGGACAAUGGGCGAAAGCCUGAUCCAGCAAUGCCGCGUGCAGGAUGAAGGCCUUCGGGUUGUAAACUGCUUUUGUACGGAACGAAAAGCCCUGGGUUAAUACCCUGGGGUCAUGACGGUACCGUAAGAAUAAGCACCGGCUAACUACGUGCCAGCCGCCGCAGUAA
rnacentral:rRNA from 1 species